rnacentral:lncRNA from 1 species
GGCAAAGAGAAGAGAGCAUGAAGCUGCGAUUUUGAACAUGCCUAGUCCCAGAGAUGCAUGCGGGGAGAACUCCAUGUGAAGGUAAAGGCAGAGAUGCUUCAUUAAGCCAAGGAAUGCCAAAGGUGGCCAGCAAACCACCAGAAACCAGACAAGAUGCAUGGAACAGAUUGUGUCUCGUAGCUUUCAGAAGGAACCAACCCUGCCAUCAUGCAUUGAUUUUGGACUUCUGGCUUCCAGAACUGUGUGGGUUUGUCAUCCAGCGAGGAGAUAAGCAGAAAGUGCUGGGCCACUCCACUGGAGAAAUUGGAGACCUUUCUUCUGGCUGUGUCUAGGGAGGCAUGAGAGAGUGAGAGAAAACUCUGAGGAAUUGGCUCAGACAGAGGAGGGAGACAAGGUACCAUGUUAACAACAGGACUGAAAUUUCGCCCAGAGUACAGAGAGCUCAGCAGAUUCCUGGCAUUUCUGAAAAACAGUCCUUUGGGGUUGAAUCAAAUUAAAUGCUUUAGGAAAAAAAGUUUUGAUAUUCAAGAGAAAUAAUGUGGCUCAACAACUGAAGUUCCACUUCUGAUGGACCUGAGAAGCCUUGCAAAUGACGUUUGAUUUUCACACUCUUUGAAGAGACAACAGAUUUCAUUGUGUAGGGGAGAAGCUGCCCAAGUGGACUUCUGGAGUUCUGACCACUUUGGGAGAUCCAUUGACUGAAAUGGAAGAAAAUAAUUCUAAAAUUUGUAUGGAACCACAAAGACUGCUAAUAGCCAAAGCUAGUUUGAACAAGAAGAACAAAGCUGGAGGCCUCACACCUUCUGAUUUCAAAAUAUAUUACAAAGCUACAGUACUAGCAUAAAAACAGAUGCAUAAACCAAUGGGUAGAAUAGAUAGCCCAGAAAUAAGCCCACUUAUAUGUGGUCAGCUAAUUUUUAACAAGGGUGCUAAGAAUACAUAACAGGCAAAUGAUAGUCUCUUCAAUCAAGUAUGGAGAAAAUUGGAUAUCUACAUGCAAA